CAUGGAUGGAGCUAACAUGAAUGCUCAGGUCGGAUUGACAAGCCCUGGCUUUAUUGGAGCAGAUGUUUGCCACCUUAACCUUCACAAGACAUUCUGCAUUCCACAUGGUGGGGGUGGUCCUGGAAUGGGUCCUAUUGGUGUUAAGAAGCACUUAGCACCAUUUUUACCAUCUCAUCCAGUGAUCACCACUGGUGGCUUCCCUCUCCCUGAGAAAACCGACCCUCUUGGUACCAUUUCUGCUGCCCCAUGGGGAUCAGCGUUGAUUCUGCCAAUUUCCUACACAUACAUAGCCAUGAUGGGUUCUAAGGGUCUCACUGAUGCUUCAAAGAUUGCAAUCUUGAAUGCAAACUACAUG
rnacentral:misc_RNA from 1 species